GUCAUUAACUGUUGCUGCCCAGAUUGGAAAGGCAGACCCCUUCAGGAAGAUUGUACAGCUCAUUGGCAAGCAGUGAUUCGAGAAACGUAUCAUAGCCAUCCAUCAUAAUAUCUAAGAUCUGUAAACUGUUUUAUAGCUUUCAUCUGAUACCUGCACCUCUAUAGUUAAUUCUGACAGCCACCCUUGGAGUUUGAAGGUGUUCUUUCAGGUUCACAGAUAAAGAAACUGAGUUCAAAGAGAUUAACUGACUUCCCCCAAGGUAAUACAACCUAGAUUAAUAACCAAAAUUUGCAUAACUUAUAAGUAUUCAGAUGAAUUUUAGAAGAUCCCAAGAAGAGAAAACAUUUGGUGGAGUCAUUGGCAUAUGGUAGGCUUCCGUAGAUUUCAUUGUCCUUUGGCUUUGCAAAUGUUUUCAUCUGCCAAACGCUGUUAAAACAGAGGGCCCCUACCCAGGGCGAACAAAGUAUGCUUCAGAGGACCAGACAGCUUGUCCAAAGUCAGAGAGCUAACAGAGAGCUAAUUGGGUCAGGAUUUGAAAGACCUUAGCUUUGUGUGACCUUCAAUUUUAUCAUUCAGCUUGAAUAUGUGCCCCAGAAAACCUUUAUGUAAUUCCCUAAUAUUUCAGUAACCAGCAUGCAACAUACGAGAAGCACAUUCUUUGUUUUUAGAAUGGUAUCUGGCUGAUGACUUUCACAACAGCUCACAUGAGAGGGAAGUAUUUUAGCAAUCGGACUGAAGGAAAAUCCAAAAACUCCACCAUUGCAGGGUCAACAGUGCACGUGUUUGAAUUCUGAAAGACGUAAGCCAAGGCAAAUAGAAGGAAAUGAUCUUCCACUAAUCCCGGCAUUUACUUCCUCCUCUCUGGAGGGGACGGCCAUGCACACAGAGCCCUGUGCUCUGAGUUCUCAUGAAAGGGACACAGCUGGGCUCACUCAGCGUCACCUCGCCCCUGGGGUGUGUCCUGGUUUCAGAUCUCGGGCUGGAGUGAUUCACGUGUGGCAGGGAGGCCAUCAUUAAUGAAAAUGCGAGGGCGUCGCACGAGUGUUGAUGACUCAGCAGGCCUUUCUACUUCUGUAUGAGUCAGUGCCCAUCACAGCCAAGCCUGGGGCACAACAGGUUUUCUUAAAAGAGCAUGGGGGCCUCAUCUUCAACAACCAAUUAGGAAGCAGAAAAGUCCUCAGUGAGGAAGGAAUAAUGACAUGUUGGAGCUAAGAUGAUGGUGCUCAAGCCCGAGAGACCCAGCCACCUUCCAGACGCCAGGCCCGCAUGGAUGAGGUGCGUCACUCCAGCUGAGGCCAGGGGGCAGCGGGGGCACCGAGUACAAGGUGGACCAGACCGCUGGGGCCAGGCCACGUGGAGCUUGAAGCCAGAAACAGCCCAGGCCAUGAGGCCACGAGGAAUUCCCUGGAGUAGGAGGAAAGCAUGCCACCGUGCAGGUGCGAGGGUGGGGGACAGCCCUCCAUUCCACCCUCACCCAAGCAGUCAGAGAGUGUGAAAUCCAGGAGUCACCAAACCUAAGUUUUGGAAAGAGAUGUCCUGUCCCCUUCCCAUUCCACUUAAGCAAACAACACCUCCCAAGAACUUUCUGAGCCCCUCUUAAAUGCUGGAGCACAAAAGCAAAUAUGGCAAUUUUUACUGCUGGCAAAAGUGUACAUUCAGAUAAAAAAGAGACAGAAAAACAACCAUUGUGCAAUGUAAGGUGUGCCCCGGGAGGGGGUAUCCCACCCCUGUUCUCAUAUUUCUAUGAGGAUGCCCCCUGGUCGAAUUCCACCUCAGUGUGCCCUCUCUUUCUCUCUCUCAUUCACUCCAUCGUUUCCUCCUCUCUAGGGGAGUAGAGACAUAAUUCAUCCAUGAGUCUGGGGGAUGGAAUUGGCCCUUUGAGGGCCAAUGCCCUCUGCCCUCCUCUCCAGUGUGGCACUGCCUGAAGGCCUGGGGGUGGUGGGGUGUCCUGGUUCACCCUUGGCUGCAGCCGAAGCUGCCUGGGGCAGGUUGUGCCACCAAGAAAGAGGCCAGCAGCUGUGAGCAGGUAGUUGAUUCUGUCUAGUUUAGAAAGGGGUAUCAAGUCACUUUAUCCUGGCUUUUGAAGCUGACAUUUUUAUCUGCCUGUCCUGUCUUAUUUCUUGUUUCAUUCUGAACUGUGGAGGGGAGCUCGGGGGUGCCCCCAACCAAACCCCAACAUAAACUCCAUGAACACACAGGACAUCUCGGUGCCCAUCAGUGCCAGGUGUCUGUUGAAUCUGCAUCUGCAGAAUCAAGAAAGGAGUGGUUUCCUCUGCCUCAGGUGGCGGGGAAAGCUCCUUGGUGGAGAGGACAUUUGAAGGAAGCCUUGAGGGACACUGGGUGAGGACGAGUAGAAUUCGCUGAGCAGGCAGCAGGGCAGGCUGAGGAUGCCAGGCGGGAGCCAGGGUGCAAGUGAGUGUUGAGACUCGCGGCAGCCAUGGGGGAGGAAGCCCAGAAGCAACAGAAGUUUCCCAGCCCACCACCCACGCACAUGGGCCCUGAAAUGAAGAGAGAAUUAACUCAUCUUCCCAGAAAGUGCUAGGACCAUACAGUACUCCACUGCAACUAUACCAUUUUACAUUUCCACUAACAGUACACAAAGCCUCCAGUUUCUCUACAUCCUCAUCAGCACUUGUUAUUUUUGGUUUAUUUGAUAAUAGCCAUCUUGAUGGGUGUAAGGUGGGCUGUCAUAGCGGUUUUGAUUUGCAUUUCCCAAAGGAUUAGUGAUAUUGGGCAUUUCUUCAUG
rnacentral:lncRNA from 10 species